AUGACCGGUGGGCUCUUGUUCUGUGCCUAUUGGCUGGGUCCCUUUCCUACGAUCCCGUGGUCGCUGCCCCUGCUCCAUCCGACCUCCGUGGCGACCGAGGGCCCGAUCCGCGCCAACGCCGUGCGGGCGGCGGCCGGGGCGGGCGCGGAGAGGGCCGAUGCGGCGGCCGCGGGCGGGGCGGUGGCGGCCAAGGCCAGGGAGGACGAGGUCAGGGAGUACAAGAGUGACGUGCUGAACCCCUCCGCGGAGGAGUUCGUGCCGCUCUCCCGCCGCCAGGGGGCGGCGCACGCCGCCUGUGGCCAGUUUCCUUCCGCCCCAACCUUUUCCACUGUCUCCCUAGUUCAUCCUCCGUCCCUUGUUGCCCGAGAUUCUCAUCUUUUCAGGCAGCGAGGAAGCCACGUGAGGAGAGACCUCGUCUCGAGAAUCCCGGGAGGAGGGGCUCAACCAGAGAGGAGCAGAUGCCAGCCAGGUAGUCGGCUCGGCUCGACGCCGUCUUUCGUGUCUGGGCCGCGGCAGACCCUAGCGCCGUCCUUCAGGUGUCUUCACGGCUGCAGGAGUGUAUGUGUUAAGCUUCAGGCUGAUGUAUUGGUUGAGAUCGAGGAGAGAGUGAGCCGUUGCAGAGGAGAGGGUGGGCGGAGGUCAGGCAUUGCUAACAGAUUUGAGGAGGAGUGGGAAAGCGGCAAAGAGAACGGUGUUGAGGAUGUGUUGCUCUAUGCACGGCUGUCAGAAAUUUUUCUGUGGCUUUCUCCAUUAGAAUAUUUCUCCUCAACGACCAUAUCAACCUGUCUGGUGUUUGCACAUGUCAUUUUGGUUGAGGUUACCGCCAUUCCACCUCUUCCUCGUGAUGGUGAGUUGAGUUGCUGCUUGGUUGGAGAUGUUGAUGUCGUUCGAGACGCCCGCUGGAUUCACCCUUUUCAAGGAUAUGCAUCUAUUCCUACUCCUAUCUUAUAUGGACAAAUAGAUCUAACAGCUGGCUUGCUUGCUUGCAGUGGUACAGGUGUGAUCUUCAUGGAGCUAGCCAUCAUUGGAUUUGGAGUUUCCUACCUUUCUUCUGCAAAUAUGGAAUGCCUUUAUGGCAUGAUCAUGUGA
rnacentral:rRNA from 1 species